GAUGGAGAGCUUGCUCUUCGGAUUAGUGGCGAACGGGUGAGUAACACGUGAGCAAUCUGCCCUUGACUCUGGGAUAAGCGUUGGAAACGACGUCUAAUACCGGAUACGACCCCUGGAGGCAUCUCCGGGGGUGGAAAGAAUUUUGGUCAGGGAUGAGCUCGCGGCCUAUCAGCUAGUUGGUGAGGUAAUGGCUCACCAAGGCGACGACGGGUAGCCGGCCUGAGAGGGUGACCGGCCACACUGGGACUGAGACACGGCCCAGACUCCUACGGGAGGCAGCAGUGGGGAAUAUUGCACAAUGGGCGAAAGCCUGAUGCAGCAACGCCGCGUGAGGGACGACGGCCUUCGGGUUGUAAACCUCUUUUAGUAGGGAAGAAGCGAAAGUGACGGUACCUGCAGAAAAAGCACCGGCUAACUACGUGCCAGCAGCCGCGGUAAUACGUAGGGUGCAAGCGUUGUCCGGAAUUAUUGGGCGUAAAGAGCUCGUAGGCGGUUUGUCGCGUCUGCUGUGAAAACCCGAGGCUCAACCUCGGGCCUGCAGUGGGUACGGGCAGACUAGAGUGCGGUAGGGGAGAUUGGAAUUCCUGGUGUAGCGGUGGAAUGCGCAGAUAUCAGGAGGAACACCAAUGGCGAAGGCAGAUCUCUGGGCCGUAACUGACGCUGAGGAGCGAAAGCAUGGGGAGCGAACAGGAUUAGAUACCCU
rnacentral:rRNA from 1 species